rnacentral:tRNA from 1 species
CAAUAAAUAACUUAAAUUUAAAGUAUUAAUUUUUUAAAUUAAUUAUAAUAUUAAAAUAUUUUUAUUGA